rnacentral:rRNA from 1 species
GACGAACGCUGGCGGCGUGCUUAACACAUGCAAGUCGAACGGAAAGGCCCUGCUUUUGUGUGUUUCUCGAUUGGCGAACGGGUGAGUAACACGUGAGUAACCUGCCCUUGACUUUGGGAUAACUUCAGGAAACUGGGGCUAAUACCGGAUAUGAUCUUCUGCUGCAUGUGGGGGGUUGGAAAGUUUCGGCGGUUGGGGAUGGACUCGCGGCUUAUCAGCUGGUUGGUGGGGUAGUGGCUUACCAAGGCUUUGACGGGUAGCCGGCCUGAGAGGGUUACCGGCCACAUUGGGCCUGAGAUACGGCCCAGAAUCCUACGGGAGGCAGCAGUGGGGAAUAUUGCACAGUGGGCGGAAGCCUGAUGCAGAAGCGCCGCGUGCGGGAUGACGGCCUUCGGGUUGUAAACCGCUUUCGCAUGUGACGAAGCGUGAGUGACGGUAAUGGGUAAAGAAGCACCGGCUAACUACGUG